rnacentral:tRNA from 1 species
UCCCUGGUGGCUCAGAUGGUAAAGCGUCUGCCUACAAUGUGGGAGACCUAGGUUCAAUCCCUGGGUUGGGAA